UUACUCAAGUAGUGUGAAAUUAGGAGGUUCUAGGGACAGAAGAAAAGCAAAAAAUGGGAAAUUGCAGAAUAUCCAAGAUUCAACAUUAACACUUAAUUGAAAACCACUGGAUUAGGAGUUCCUUGCUGGCUCAGUUGGUAGAGCAUGUGACUUUUGAACUUGGGGUCCUGAGUUUGAGCUCCAAAUUGUAUGUAGAGACUACUAAAAACAAAAUCAUAAAAAAAAAAAAAAAAAGAAAGAAAGAAAAAAAUGAUGAAAGCCAGUGGCUUAGAGGUCAAAGAAAGGAUGGGCAAAAUAAAAAAGUCUAAAAGAAUUAGAGAGGCUCUACCUGGGAAGGUAAAAUGGGACAAAUAUGAAUGGCCAGGCAAACUCCAGAGCCGUCUGGUUGGUGACCUGGAAAUGCCAGGCUAUGAGUUUCAUUAAUCGACAAGAAGGCAUUGAGUGUGCCCAACGUGUUCUUGAGCUUUCUUAAAUACCCAGGAACCUGGGCAGUGAUUAUACUGUCCUGUCUGGGGCAUUUUCAUGUUUCAGGUGAAAUCAGCAGAGGAGACCGGUUCUGUUUUUCUUUUGCAUCACUGAUAACUCGAUACUUUAGAACCUGACAGACCAUGAUUCUUUCGCAACUGGGAGCUGGAGAUGGUUGUGAGCUGUCAGUGGGAACCUGAAGCCAAGGAUUCCCUAGGGCCUUAAAAUCUUUCUGAAUUUAUCCCCACAGCAGUGCAGAUGGGUAAAGCAGAUGGGUGGAAGAAAUGCCUGGGGGCCCACCAAGCACACGUGCAAAUCCUUUUGCAUGGCUGGGAAACCACAGUAGCAAAUAUACCGAUAAAGUCACGAUGUGUCCUUAUGGGACAAGCUACCUGAGAUGGAGAAGCAUUAGCUAUGUAAGUGUAAUGUAAAGAGAAAAAUACUUUUUGAAUAUGCAGUAUGAACAGUGAGGUGGUAUGGUUAGCAUUUAAGUGUACAGCUUCAAAAUUACCAAUGUGACCAAUGCCCCAAAAAAAAAAACCCAAGAACAGCAGCCCUCAUCAAAAUAACCUCCUUCAUGAAAACUACCAUACUGAUGCCUGGACCCCACCCUAAACCACUGUAAUCAGAAUAUUUGAUAUCAGUGGAGGUGGAGAACCCAGUCAAGGAAAUCAAAGCAUGAAUGUCAAUGAGUGCCCUUAAGGAACCAGCCUUCUCUCUGGCUACCCUUCCCAUGUACCACCUCAUAUGUACCCAUUCCUGAGCACUGUUAGUUCCAAAACACCAUCCUUUCUCAUAAUCAAUUCAAGUGUUUCAGAUGCUGGACAGGUUCUUUGCUCUUCUCCGGUGGGGGUAAAUCCAUCAUCCUUCCAGGCCUGUCUCCUCCUUUGGGAGGCCUUCCCUAGACUACUUCCAUCUUCACAGCCUUACUCUCUACUUCCAGAGCUUAUUCUUGCUUUAGCUUUCAGGGUCUCGUACCCUGCCCUGGGGUAGUACUGUGAGCUGAGAUGGCCAAGGGUAGGGACUUGUCUUACCCAUGCAUCCUUAAGCACAGGACCUGGCACAGGGCAGGUGGUAAGCAUUGAAUGAACAGUUCUGUGUGCUCCUGUGCAUCUGAAUAUUAUUGACUAGCAGCCACAGGAAGGAGAACAGGUGGAAAUAAUCAGGCUGAUGGCUGGGCUGGAGAGGAUCAGGAAAGGAUCCAAACUGAUGAAUGACAGUGUAGUGAUUUUCUAGCAGGGAGACCCAUGCAUGUGAAGAUGUCCAAGGGCUUUGUGGAAAUGGGAAUAUUUUUUAAAAAGAUUUUAUCCAUUCAUGAGAGAGAGAGAGAGAGAGAGAGAGGCAGGGGAGAAGCAGGCUCCAUGCAGGGAGCCUGACGUAGGACUCGAUCCCAGGUCUCCAGGAUCAGGCCCCGGGCUGAAGGCGGCGCUAAACCGCUGAGCCACCUGGACUGCCCGAAAUGGGCACUUUUAAUGCAUUUCUGGAUCUUCAAUUUCCCAGACAUACUCUUUCCUAACAUUACAGGAUCUCCUUUGUCACUUUUGCUUGUAGAACCACCCUUCUCCUCUCCCACUUCUCAAAAGAAAACACACCCCUCACCCAUUCUAAAUCUAAGGUCCACUGACCGUGGGUAUAAAAAUCUCCAGGGCUCCGAACAAAGGGAUGAUUUGAACUAUUUUUUGAAUCCCUUAUUACGGUGCUUAAUCAAGGUACCAUACUCCCAAACCCUGAAACUUUCUAUCUUUUCUGGUCCUAUUGUUAUGCUGAAGGUGAACUGUGGUGUUAGGAAUGGAACACACUGGCCCUUGUAAGGACAUUAUGAAAUCAGAUACGUGUAUUAUAAAGCACUGGGGGUGGCAGUAAUGCCAGUUUUUCUGACCUCACCUUUUCCACUCCCCAAUUAUUAUCAAAAGAAUGAAUGACUCAUGAGGGAGAUUGAUGAUGGAAAAUUGGACCAUCAGAAUGUUCUCCCUGCAGUCUGAGGCUCAUGUUUCAAUUUUUGGAGUAGUGUCUUUAGAAGAACAAAAUUUUAAUUUUGAUGACAUCCAGUUUAUUAUUUUAUCUUCUAGUUUGGGAUUUUUUGUGUGUGUCCUAUUAAAGAAAUCUUUGCUAAAUAUAGGGUCUUUAAGAAUUUUUCUGUUUUCUCCUAGAAUUUUCAUAAUUUUUGAAGAUUUUAUUUAUCUGAGAGAGAGAGAGCACAAGUGAGGGGAGAGAGGGGCAGAGGUAGAAGCAGACUUGCCCACUGAGCAGGGAGCCCGAGGCAGGGCUCAAUCCCAGGACCCUGAGAUCAAGACCUGAGCCAAAGGCAGAUGCUUAACUGACUGAGCCACCUGGGCAUCCCUAGACUUUUUGUAAUUUUAACCAUUAUGUUCAGGUGUAUGAUUCAUUUUGAAUUAAUUUUGUACUACAGUUAGUUACAUAGGGAAAAAUUAAAAAGAAAUAAAUGGAAAGAUAUUUUCAUGGGAAAAAAGGAAAAUCAGAGCAUCAGUAAGAGAGAUUAACCAUCUAAAUGGUGCUUUUUUUGAUCGAGUAUUUAAGCAAAAGCAAUUGUUUUCAGCUACUCUCAAGAAUAAUCCUUAGUAUUAGUUUGCUGGUUAGAAAAGCACCACCAAACAACUGAAACAGCGCAGGCCACUAUUGUAGUGCUUUUGGAGACAACCACAGUUUUCAAAUUUCACCAGACAAAACCUGUGGUCAUUUUUUACCUGACUUCUUUGAGAUUUGGUGUGUAUUACACAAAAAGGUAUUUAAAACAUUUUAAUCCAGGCAUAUAAAAUAUUCCAAUUACAGUCUUGAACUUACUUCAUCUUUGAAAAUAUUUGUAUGCACUACUUCAUGUUAGCAAAAAAAUAAAUAAAAUUUAUACUAUACACCAGAUCAAUUAAUUUUUAGCUAUACUUACUCUUUCACUAGAUACUUUGAAUAAGUUUGAUUAAUAUGUCUAACAAAAUUAAUGGAAUUACUUUUUAAUUUUAUACAUGAUUUGUAUUUAUUUCCAAACACCAGAGUUCAGUGUACAUACACAUACAUAUGUACCAAAGGAGUACCAUUCCUUUUAAGCAUCCCCUUUGCUUCAUGAAUAACUUAAAUUUGUAGCUACAUAUUGCAUAAGUAAGUGAGAAAAAUUUACAUAAUGAAAAUUUUCUAUUAGCACAAGAGCAUUUUAAUCUUAAUUGCUUUUACAAGAUUUGUUGCAUUAUUUAUCUCUUGGUGGUUUUUAUUCUAUUGGUCAAAAUGUGUUAACAUUUUAUUUGAAGAAUAAAGUCUGUUUUUUUUUUU
rnacentral:lncRNA from 1 species